rnacentral:misc_RNA from 1 species
UUUCCGUAGGUGAACCUGCGGAAGGAUCAUUCAUAAUAAGUGUUUUAUGGCACUUUUUUAAAUCCAUAUCCACCUUGUGUGCAAUGUCAGGGUUGAUUUUUCUCUCGAGAGGAUCAACCCCAAACAUCAACUGUAUCUCGACUCUUUGUCUGAAAAAUAUUAUGAAUAAAACAAUUCAAAAUACAACUUUCAACAACGGAUCUCUUGGCUCUC